rnacentral:lncRNA from 1 species
GACAGGAGCAAAUCUGCUCGUCCCUAGACAGAUAGGGCGAGAGGAAAAAUGGCCAUUUUGAGAAAAUGGAGAAGAUUGAUACAGCAUGUUUGUGUCUUGUUUAGUCUUGGUGUAUUGUAUUGUCUUUGUGAUGAAAAUAUGGAAAGGGUGAAAAGUAAAUUACUAAGGGAAGAAGGCACCCCAAUGGAACCAAAAAUAGUUAGGACAUGUGUUGAUAGAAGCCCAGGAACUCUAGUCAGAAAGAAGAAAGUUCAGAGGAGGAAGGAUUAUCAGGAAAAAAGUUGCAGCAAAAGGCUAUUACUGAAUACUUUUCGUUACCGGAGGGUGCGUGAAUCUGCAAGGUGACUGCCACGUGCGCGAGCCGGUCAUGGCGCAGCAAGGACUUUCCAAGUGGUGGCAGCAGGCUCUUCCCCGCCCCCUGCCCAGGGAGUGGGCCGCCACUUCGAGAGCCCAAAUCCAAACCUGACCCGGAGGCACAGUCUCACGGGCUCUUGCUCCCUGUGCCCAGUGGCAGUUUGAGUACUGGACGCUCCCUGGGACUCUCCCCAGGAGUCCGGGACACUCCCCGGACUCUCUCCAGGGCCAUCUAGGGCUGCCCGGGACACUGCAGGUGGAAGACGGCCUGCAUCCCUGAAGUUUGAUCAUUUCCAAGGCCAGUAACUACAAUGGUUCUCCCACACCUGGAAGCUAGUUCCUGCCUUUGUCCCAGUGCCGGUGAGGACGAGGAUGGAAGAAUUUCUAGUGUUGCUGAAAACCGGACGAGACUUUGGAUCAAGCUAGCUGCCUACAGAACUUACCUAGACUGUGAUUUACCUGGACUGUGAGUUAAUCUAUUGAGACACUGCUUUACCUGGACUGAGACAACACACUGUAAUCUACAACAAAUUGUAACUCGGUAUCUUUGCUAACAGUGUCAUUGCUGGUAUAAUUUUUCAAAGGGCUUCUUGCAUGGAGACAUCAAUUGGCUUGGUAUUGUGGCAUUUUGUAUCCUCCCCUUCUGCUUGUAGCAGAUAAUUUAUGGUGUUUCUGUAAAACCCACUAUGGUCGUUAUUUAAAUUAAACAAAAGGGAGAAAUGUUAGAGUCUGUAAACAAGUCAGGAUGGCGCCUGGCAUUUUGCCAAGGGAGUGGUUUGUGAAGUAACGCCAGCGAGCCAUUAAGUGUGGAGAUUUCUUAUUGGUUGACUGCUGUAUCUAGUUUAUGUUAAUUAAGAUAAGCUGUGUGGAAUGUAUAAAUACCCCUCCUGUCCUACAAUAAACGGCUCCCACUCCUGCUG